rnacentral:lncRNA from 1 species
AAAAAUUGUCUGGUGUAAAUAUAAAGUCCUUUUCAUGGCAGUCACGUGGUGCAAAGGAAAAAAAAUCUUCUCCUACAUAAUUUGCAGAAGCUUUCAAAGACAAAGAAAACAACAGCAUGUGAAUGUUGUCAUAAAACAACAAAUGAUGCCAUAGCUGUCUAUUUCAUAUAUUUUGACUGCAAAACCAAUGCUGAAUGUUUUCCUCAUGCUACACUCUGUUCAAUGAAUUAUCACUCACACUUCCCUCGCUAAAUUAAAUUUAACAGAAUUUGUCAAAAACUUCGAAUCCAUUUUAAAUAUGGAUCCGAUAUUAAAUAAAUAUUAAAAAAUAUAAGUAGCAGAAUGUAUUACAAAAUUUU